AAACUUGUGUAUAAUAGUGAUAAACAAACAUGUCAUGAAAUAGUGCUGAUUGUACACCACAAAAUGAAACACACGAGAACGAUUCCAAUUGAACAUUAUUAUGGCAACAAACACAUUUCUGGAUGGAUGUAUACCAGUCUAAAAAAAAAAAAAGCUCCCAAUGUAAACAAAAAAUAAUAAUAAUUAAACCAUGUAUACUAUAUAUCUACAUAUACUAUAUACAACAUAAACAUACAAUUUAAAUUGAAAAUACUAAAAUAAGGUUUCAACCCUCCCAAAAACAAAUUUCAAAGAUGGACUUGUUUCUACUAAGAAGUAAUGUUAAGGAGAACCUAGUAUUCUGCAUUCACAAGUUACAAUCAUUUGAAGUUUAUAACUUGGUCAUGUUUAUAAUGCUUUACAAACAUUGUACUUACAAUGACACAUAUAAGCCAAAAUAAAUUAAUA